GUGAAGACACUUCAGCAGCACUUAUACAGAAAUCCGACUGACAGAGAAGAUUAGCAUGGUCCUGUCCUAGGAUAAUAUACAAAUUUGUGAAAUGUUAUAUAUAUUU